rnacentral:lncRNA from 1 species
UCUGAUAUCUAGUCACCAAUAACUGUUUAUGUUUCCAUUCUACUUGCACCUCAUUAGUUUAAUCUUCUCUAAUCAAUGUGUCUGACUCCAAACCAGGCUGGAGAAUGAUGAAUUUUAUGAUGUGCAGAAUAACCAGUGUGGGGUGUGGGGUAAGGUGGGAAUAAGGAAAGAUCAGUUAAGGUUUAAUGAGGAAGCAGUCAAGAGGAAGUAUCCACAAUAGAAUAAAACACUUAACUAGAAGCUGAUAUUCCCCCUUUAAUACUACCCUCCAUAUAAUAGGUAGUUGCUGAACAUGUCCGAGGAAUGAAAUUGGAUGGAUGAAUCCAGUUGAGAAGACAUGAUUUUCCUGAGGGAGAGAGUAAUGAGUAUCCAGGACAGUGAGAGUCUUUGGGCAAAGGCAUACAGGGAUCAAAAACACAGAAAGUUGUCCACUUCUUACCCUGUUGGAAGGCACAAAGGAUGGUUUAGAGGGAGGUAUGUUUAUGUCUGCCUC